CGUGUGUGAAGAAGGUCUUCGGAUUGUUAAAGCACUUUUGGCAGGGACGAGUGAUGACGGUACCUCGCAGAAUAAGCCCCCGGCUAACUUCGUGC
rnacentral:rRNA from 1 species